rnacentral:lncRNA from 1 species
AAAAGGAGACCGAAGCUUUGCUAGCCAUUCUUUCCCUUUUUGCUCUCUCUCCACAUACCUCAUCUGGGAAACUUUGUAUAUGCAGUAUUUAUAUCAUGUUAUAUUGGUAAUUAUAAAGUGACCUAGGAGGCUAGGAGAGCUGACCAACAGAGAAGGGAAAGCAUUCUGUUAUGACCAUAGUGACAUAUUCAGUUCACACCAAACAUCUUUCCAGCAUGUCUCUCCCAUUUAGUAACAUCCUAGCACUUAAAGUCUCUUAACAUAAGCCCAGUACUAGCUCUUUCUCUUUGUAUUUCAUCUCUCUCUACUAUCUUGUGUUCUAUGUUCCUA